GAUGAAGAACGUAGCGAAACGCGAUAAGUAAUGCGAAUUGCAGAAUUCAGUGAGUCAUCGAAUCUUUGAACGCACAUUGCGCCCUGUGGUAUUCCGCAGGGCAUGCCUGUUCGAGCGUCAUUUCAACCCUCAAGCUCUGCUUGGUGUUGGGCCCUGCCCGCUGCGGCCGGCCCUAAAGACAGUGGCGGUGCCGCCUGGCCCUGAGCGUAGUACAUCUCUCGCUCCAGUGCCCGGUGGUAGCCUGCCAGAACCCCAACUCUCGUGGUUGACCUCGGAUCAGGUAGGGAUACCCGCUGAACUUAAGCAUAUCAAUAAGCGGAGGA
rnacentral:misc_RNA from 1 species